GAUGAACGCUAGCGGCAGGCCUAACACAUGCAAGUCGAGGGAGAAGCCCUUUCGGGGGCAGACACCGGCGCACGGGUGCGUAACGCGUAUGCAACCUACCUUUCACAGGGGGAUAGCCCGAAGAAAUUUGGAUUAAUACCCCAUAAUAUUAUUGGAUGGCAUCAUUUGAUAAUUAAAACUGCGGUGGUGAAAGAUGGGCAUGCGUCCUAUUAGCUAGUUGGAGUGGUAACGGCACCCCAAGGCUACGAUAGGUAGGGGUCCUGAGAGGGAGAUCCCCCACACUGGUACUGAGACAGGGACCAGACUCCUACGGGAGGCAGCAGUGAGGAAUAUUGGUCAAUGGUCGGAAGACUGAACCAGCCAUGCCGCGUGCAGGAAGAAUGCCUUAUGGGUUGUAAACUGCUUUUAUAUGGGAAGAAUAAGGCGUACGUGUACGUUGAUGACGGUACCAGAUGAAUAAGCAUCGGCUAACUCCGUG
rnacentral:rRNA from 1 species